AAGGGUGUGAGGAGUAAGUUGAAAAUCAAAAAACGCCUAGGGUGGAAACACGGUAACACUCCUGGGCGUUUUUUGCU
rnacentral:sRNA from 1 species